GGGGAUGUACCGGUUUCGACAGGGUUUUGAAGUAUAUGGUAGCGAGUCGUGGACUUUUUCUCUUAAUCACACGUUAAACUAAGGGAUACUAAAUAUAACUGCAAAAAAACCUAGUUUUGCACUAGCUGCCUAAUAGCGCGGCUUCGUCUUACUAAGAUACCUGCGACUUAGAUAAGGCGUCAUUGAGCAGGCAACCUUACUUGGUGCUAACCGGAACAAGUAUUGCAACAAUUCGGUUGUAGAAAUAAGAUGGUUGUGGUAACAAGGCAGUCUUAUUUUGAAUAAAAUAUUGAUACCUACACUCGUAGAGGCUGUAUAUGAAUGGAUUUUGGACAUGGGUUCAACUCCCAUCAUCUCCACC
rnacentral:tmRNA from 1 species